CCUUUUAAUAUUAAACUCUUUAGAGAAGUGUUUAUUUUUAAUAUAGUAUGUUUAAUAUAUAUAUUUUUGUUACACGUCACAAUAUUUAAUCUUAUUGUUACAAUUAUUUUUAUAUUAAUUACCGAUAAAUAUACUGUCUAUCCAGAAAAAACCUCUCAUAAAAUUCAUUUAUUUUUAGAUCACCAAUGGGUUAUUAAUUAAAAUAUCUUUAUUCACACCAUAUUUUGGAAUUUUCUAAACUUCAUAAGAAAACUAAAUAGCAAAAGGGAUGUUUAGAUAGAG
rnacentral:lncRNA from 1 species